CUUCAUGGUGAUCCCCUGGAGCCCUCCGCCCUCGCUGACCGACGCCGUGGCCUCCUCUACUGUCAGCCGGUUCCGAAUGGUCUCGUAGGUUUUGCUGUUCAAGGUGGAGUCCAGCACGCCUUGCAAUCGGAAAUCCCGCACCUCUUAAUAAAUUGGAGGAAAUAAAGGGAUGGAAGAGCCACCAAAGACGUGCCAGGCGGUGAUUUCCUGCUGGGCCAGCUUGGGGCUGAGACUUCUGUUGGCUCUUCAUCUCCAGGAUGGGGACCUGGCAAGUGCCAAGAGCAUGAAUGAUGCUAAUUUGGAGAGGAAAGAAGGAGCUCUGUUGGCUGUGACUGUCUGUCCCUACAGUCCUGGUGCCAGAUGGGGCCUCAGUUGUGACAUGGAGCUCUGUGCAGCCCCAGAACGGGACAGAGGCAGGUCCUGCCAUGUCUGUCCUGUGCCACACACACCUGCACAGAUGAGGAACAGAACUGAAUCCCACCCCGCGGGGGGCUCAGCCUCGCACACUGCUCAGCGGCAUGAAAGGAGCUCAUAGCUGAGUUACUCCAAAGACUUUCUGCUUUGUGAAAAAAAGACAAAGUGUAAUUCAUUGAUCUUGAUACACAAAACCGUCACGUCACUUCAUAGAGCACGCACCAACUGCUGAAUUUAAGCCCUGCAUAUUCAUAAAAAUAAGUUAGCCCAUAAAUUAAAUGUUCCCUUUAGCUAUCACUAGUGUUAAUGUGCUACAAGACGCACAAGCCCUCUGAUUCAUGACUAACCCUCCAAAGAGGAUAACAUUUGCAUAUGAUUAUAUUAUUAAAAAAAAACCACAACAACAACAAAGCCAAAUGCUCCAGAAUGGGAACGAGAUCAUUUCAGACAAAAGAGUGCAACACUGGUGGGCUCUGAUGUCCUCCUGGGACACGGGGCUCCUUGGGGCUCGUCCCCAUGCACGAGGUGCAGAAGGCACGGCCCAAACGUGUCCUUCCCAUGGGGCUGCAAUGCAUUCCCAGGCACCAAAGUAUAAACGUGUUUCUCAGAACUCACUGUGACUCCUAAAGAGUGAUGCUCCCAUGCGUCCAUGGAGCCCAACUUUAACCCAGAGCCGCCCGCCCUGUUACAGAUGAUAUCUGCCAUCCCCAUAGAUAACCUGCACUCAGCCCAAGGGGCGCAGGGCGAGGGAUGGCUCCUGGGUGACAGCAGAAGAAAUGCAAACAAAUGCCCUUAGGAUGACACCAGAGCCUGGUCACAGCAAGCAGAUGUCCCGUUUGCACGGCCAGGAAUGUAACCCCGCUUUGGGGUUAGCCCCUCCUGCUCACAGCAGCCCUUACUGCCAGGUGCAUCGCGGCAGCUGGGACGCUCCAAGCCAACAGCAGAAGCAGUGCAGGGCUGUGAGUGCUGCCCGUGCAUCCCAACCUGCCCGAGCCAUCGGCUCGCUGUUUUUUCCUUCUUCCUUUUGGAAUGCAAAUGCAUGAUCAAUAAGUUGCCGAAAUAGCAGGCUUGUCUCUGAAUAUAUAAAUGGCAAAAAUUGAUAUGAAUAAAUCUGCAAGUAGCACACUGAGUGUGGCACAUUUCAUCAAAAAAAAAAGAACCCCGUGCUGGGCUCCUGCUUUCCGGGAGGUGGUGUCAUUACACAUACCCAGGAACAUCUGCAAACCCCCGUUCUCUUUGGUGCGAGCUGAAUGGAAGCAUGACCUCCUGUUCCUUGCCAUGAACCUUGAGUUCACACUCAUAUUUUACAUGUUACAGGAAGCCGCAGCUCACCCCAGGGGUGCGGCAAACAGAAUCUCGUAAGCCAGAUGCAACACUGCUUCUUAAGGCACCUGAAGGAGCUGUAUUCUUCAUUCAAAAGCUUACAUACUAGUAGCUUAAGGUCACUUCAGCUUUUGUAAAGAGCGGGACAAAACCAGGAAUGCUUAUAGGGCUGGGCUGUCAGCAGGGUAGCAGAGGGAUUACAAGGAACCUGUGACUCUGCCUCUUUCUGCCUUUACUGGUAGUUUUUUUGUGUGUGAACAAGUGCCAUACAACAGAUUGAGGCUGGUAUAAAGGCCUGGGACUGUGCAAGAGCACCCCGCUGAGCCUCAGCUGUGCUUGCAAUUAGCAAUAGGCAUGAAAUGAUUAUUGUUGUGGUGGCUGAUGGCAAUCUGAAGUGACAAGUUUUAUGGGGGAAGUUGUAGUGGGGAUGUUCAGCAAGUUUCUGCAAACCAUUAAUCGAAGGCUGCAACACAGUGUAGUCAAAGCUAUUUUAUGUCAUUGCAAAGGUCUCACAGGGAUGCUGAAAGAAUAUUUUUCUGCUCUCAGUGCCUCGAAAUGGAGUUUUUCUAGGUCAGGGAUUCUUUACUGCCCUAUUUAGUGUCAAAAAUACCCAUUUGCCUCAAAUUAGCAGAAAGCUUGUAGUUAAGGGCUAGAGAUUAGGCAUACAAAAUUACUCAGCAGGUGACUGCUGGGUGGAUUUGGGGGUUGAGAAGUCUUUAAAACUGACUACGAGACAUUAUAUACUUCUGACAAAAGAACAUAGUAAUCCUACCUGCUUGCUUUAACCACUGUUGUUUGUCUAUUAUUAUGUGCUUUAAUGCUCAUAAGAGCAAAACUACUGGUGAUACUACUCAAUUACCAUAGUAACUCUCCCCUAUGACCUCUCAUUUCAGUACUCGCUUUCCAACCAGAACCAAUCCAAGCAGGGCAAAUCUAUUUAAAACUGUGACACACACGGCACAAGGAAACCCCGAACGCCGGCUGGCUCCUCUCUUUGUCUGAGACACCGGCUUGUUUUGCAAUGCUGAAAGGCAGCUUUGAAAUGAAGCCUUGAAU